GGGAAAGAAUGAGCCCUGCAAAGACGACACCAAACAAGAAGUGUCACAACUCUGGAUGAGACCGCCUGGCACAGCUCACUCAGACCAGAGCCAGCAUGUCCACACGAGUGACUGCGGGUAUCAAAGCGAAGGGCUCUUGUGGGUCCAGAAAUGUGUUUUUUGGUGUCGCACCUCAUAAGGGUCUUUGUGUGACUGCAACAGGGACUGUGAUGCAUGGAAAGCUAGAAGGCGGGAAAAGAGUAGUGAAAGGGAUGCGGCGCUUUGAGGAGAUCCCUCACACUGGGAGGAAUGGAUGGCUCAACCUGCUGAAAUUCUGGAGAGAAAAUCGCUUCCAGCAGCUUCACAAGCACAUGGAGAGGACCUUCAACACGCUCGGACCCAUCUACAGAGAAAAGCUCGGCACCCUAAGCAGCGUGAACAUCAUGCUCCCAUCUGACGUCAGUGAGCUCUUUAAGUCAGAGGGUCUGCACCCCCGACGGAUGACCCUGCAGCCCUGGGCGACACACCGGGAAAUACGCAACCACAGCAAGGGCAUCUUCCUCAAGAAUGGGGAAGAGUGGAGAGCUGACCGUCUGCAGCUGAACAAGGAGGUGAUGAUGAGUGCAGCAGUAAAACGCUUUCUCCCUCUCCUUGAUGAGGUGGCGAAGGAUUUCUGUCAAAUGCUGCAGACAAGAAUGGAAAAGGAGGGAAGAGGAGAGAAGGGAAAAUGCGUUCUUACCAUCGAUCCCAGUCCUGACCUUUUUCGUUUUGCACUGGAAGCUAGCUGCCACGUGCUCUACGGAGAGCGUAUUGGCCUCUUCUCCUCAUCCCCCUCCCUGGAAUCUCAGAAGUUCAUCUGGGCCGUGGAGCGAAUGCUAACAACCACUCCUCCUCUCCUCUACCUUCCCCCUCGCUUACUGUUGCGCAUGGGUGCUCCCCUGUGGACCCAGCACGCCACUGCUUGGGACCACAUCUUCAGUCAUGCGGAGGCGAGGAUCCAGAGGGGGUACCAGCGCUUGUCAACCUCCCUGGAUAGAGCAUCUCCGGCUGGGACUGCUGGAAGCCAGUACACUGGAGUUCUGGGGCAACUCAUGGAGAAAGGGCAGCUAUCUUUGGACCUCAUCAAAGCCAACAUCACUGAGCUGAUGGCUGGAGGGGUGGAUACGACAGCAGUACCCCUGCAGUUUGCUCUGUUUGAGCUGGGACGCAACCCUGAGGUGCAGGAGAGCGUUAGGCAGCAGGUGAGGGUGUCGUGGGCACAGGCUGGUGGGGAUCCUCACAAAGCCCUGCAGGGGGCACCACUUCUUAAAGGCACAAUCAAAGAGGUCCUCAGGUUGUACCCGGUGGGAAUUACAGUGCAGCGGUAUCCAGUCAGAGACAUCGUUCUCCAGAACUACCACAUACCUGCUGGGACUUUGGUCCAGGCCUGUAUUUACCCAAUGGGUAGAAGUGAAAAAGUGUUUGAGGAUCCACUGCGCUUUGACCCCAGCCGGUGGAGCAGAGAAGAGGGCCAAAGGGUGGAAGCCGCAGGAUUUCGCUCACUGGCAUUUGGCUUCGGGGCGAGGCAGUGUGUCGGGAGGAGGAUUGCUGAGAGCGAGAUGCAACUUUUUCUCAUGCAUGUGAGUGACAGCAAAAAAGUGAAAGGGGAGGAGUAAGGAAGCAAGAAAGCAAGUUUUGGGAUGGGAUGAAAGUGAAAGGACAAUGAUGCAAGAGGACAGGAAGAAGUGGAAACAUGAGAGCUCAGUUAUAAGGCUGAUCCUGCUGAGCUUCCAUCUCAGCGUGCCGUCCUCAGAGGACCUCAACACCACAGUCACCCUCAUCCUCCAGCCCGAGACUCCGCCGAGGAUUACUUUCAGCAAGCUCUGACACACACACAUGCUCAGAGGAGAGUC